rnacentral:piRNA from 1 species
UGCUUGGGAAGGAACAAUCUGAGGGAC